rnacentral:rRNA from 1 species
AUUGAACGCUGGCGGAAUGCUUUACACAUGCAAGUCGAACGGCAGCACGGGGGCAACCCUGGUGGCGAGUGGCGAACGGGUGAGUAAUACAUCGGAACGUGCCCAGUCGUGGGGGAUAACGUAGCGAAAGUUACGCUAAUACCGCAUACGAUCUACGGAUGAAAGCGGGGGACCGUAAGGCCUCGCGCGAUUGGAGCGGCCGAUGUCAGAAUAGGUAGUUGGCGAGGUAAAGGCUCACCAAGCCGACGAUCUGUAGCUGGUCUGAGAGGACGACCAGCCACACUGGGACUGAGACACGGCCCAGACUCCUACGGGAGGCAGCAGUGGGGAAUUUUGGACAAUGGGCGCAAGCCUGAUCCAGCCAUUCCGCGUGCAGGACGAAGGCCUUCGGGUUGUAAACUGCUUUUGUACGGAACGAAAAGGCUCUGGUUAAUACCUGGGGCUCAUGACGGUACCGUAAGAAUAAGCACCGGCUAACUACGUGCCAGCCGCCGCAGUAA